rnacentral:rRNA from 1 species
CAGUAGCCGCGGGAAUAUGGAGGUGGCAAGCGUUGUCCGGAUUUAUUGGGCGUAAAGCGAGCGCAGGCGGUCAAUUAAGUCUGAUGUGAAAGCCCCCGGCUCAACCGGGGAGGGUCAUUGGAAACUGGGAAACUUGAGUGCAGAAGAGGAGAGUGGAAUUCCACGUGUAGCGGUGAAAUGCGUAGAGAUGUGGAGGAACACCAGUGGCGAAGGCGACUCUCUGGUCUGCAACUGACGCUGAGGAGCGAAAGCGUGGGGAGCGAACAGGAUUAGAUACCCGCGUAGUCCCUGUCUCUUAUAC